AAUAAGGUCUUUAAGAAAAUGGUUGCGUGGUUUAUUUUCUUGUAAUGAUCAAGCUCUUGUUGAUUAUUAAAGGAAUGUCCGAUAUAAGUUAUCUAUUUUAUUGGUUAUUUUGCAAUAACUAUUGACGUUGAUGCACCCAUCGUAAACGACUUUAGAGCAUGAUUAACCCAAAAAAACCCAUCUACUCUAUUAAAAUAGAGUCUUACUUUUUAUCUACUAUAGAAAAGUUGUCAUUAAGUUUUGGACCUAUUCUAAUUGAGUUUUAUUAAUCUAAAUAUAAAUAUACUCAACUCUAUUAAUUUGGCAAAUCAUUAUCUGUUAUUAAUGUUGCCAAUAUUUCAUCAUCAAAAUCGUUCCUAAAUUAACCAAAUUACAAAUAAUAGAUAUUGUAGGCAUAAAUAAUAAAUAGAAUUAUUAUAAGAAUUGCAAGAUUGUAGGGAUAUUCCAGUUUUUUAGAAAGCGUUUUGCUGUGCACAAAAGUAUGUUAAAAAUGGUAGGUUUUAAUUUGAGUUGCCAACUGGAUUUAAAUUUUAUUCGUUUUAGUAAGUUUACUCACUGAGAUAUGCAGCGUUGAAGAAUUAAUAUACUGUAUACAUUUUCCUAAAAUUGUCUACACAUGAGAUCAACUAUUACAGUCAAAUCGAUCCAGUAAAAAUACUAUCAUACGUGAUAUUAACUUAAUGAUACAGACAAACUUAUAUUUUAUCUUUUUAUUUUUUUCUAUAUAUUAAUUACAAGUUUUCAGUUUUUAUAUAUUUUCUACAUUCAAGAAACCUACAUAAUUGACUAAGUUGAUGUCCACUCGAAAUGAUACAUGACAUGUUAAAUAAAUUAAUCAUUAUGUUAGAUUAUCAUUUAGUUACAUUUAUAUAAUUUGUAAUCUAAUUAUAUAAUUAUAAGAAACAUAUAUAUAUAUAUAUAUAUUAUUUAUAAAAAAGUAUUACAAAUCAAUACAAUACAUACUAAUCUUACAAUGAGUGUAUUAUUUAAAUCAAAAUUAUAAUAUUUAUUAAAUUAUGAUUAUCCAUUGUAACACGGAUUAGAACAUAAUUUUAUUGUUAUGAUAAAUAUGUUCUUACAGUUUGUAUAAUAAAUUACUUUUCACAAGCCCUAACAAUGAAUAUAUUUGGCUUCUAAAAAUAAAGCUUUAUUUCAUGUUUACAAAUAUAAGAACGGGAGGAUAAAUCUCUCCAUCUAUAAUAAAUCGAAAAUGACAUUUUUAAAAGAGAAUACAUGUAUAACACAUCAAGUUCUCUUCAAAGUCAAAAAUGUAGUCCAUCUAAGAAAACAUUAAGUAUGUGUAAAAUUAUAUAUUAGAUUAUUUUUGUAUAAAUAAAAAUAGUAAUCCCGCGCAUAAAAGCGCGGGUUAGAAUCUAGUUAUCUAUUCUAUUAGGGUUUCUUAAUGUUUAUUUAAGUAAUUAAAUGUACUUAAGAACUCUAGUUAAGAAAUUUUUAGAUUUUAUGCUCUAAUGAUAGUUUCUUAAUAGAUAACUUGGAGAUAAGCCUCUUCCUCUAGUGAGCUUGAAGAAGUUAAUAGAUAAGGGAGUAAGGAACAAGUUGAGUUUGAUAAGGGGUAAAGGUGUGAAGAACAUGGAGGGGAUUCUUCAAUUUUGGUUUGAAACAAGAAUGUGAAUAUUUUAUAGUUUAAGUGAUGCUUUGAUGUAAAAAGGUCACACUUGAUGUACAAAGGCUUUUUGAUGAAUAAGAAUUUAACAUUCAUUCAAAAAAAAAAAAAAAGAUAGUUUCUUAAUAAAUCGUUCUUAAAAAAAAUAUUAAACAUUGUUUUAUUAAAGAUAAAAUUUAUUUAUUAAAUAAAACAUAUUAAAAGAUAACAUUUUCAACAUAGAUUUUAAAAUAAAAAAAUUAAAACAAAGAUUAAUAAAAUAAACGAGAAUAAUUUGAAAGAAGCAUCCGAGCUGAGUUGUUGUCUUUAUCACGUCCAAAUUUAAUCCAUAUAUGUUCAACCAAAUCAACUUUCAGUUGUCGAUGCAUUUGUCUAUCAUGAAUUCUAGUUCGAAUACCCAUCAUAUUGACGAUAUUUAUAAGAAUAUCUGUAGAAUACGUAAUAUCCACAUGUGAACUUCCGUUGUCUUCUCCUUGUUGGAAUUCGGAAAUUUGAGAUCAAAUUGAGUGUAUCCAUCUUAUUCAUCUUCUACUAUCAUAUUACUAUCAUAUUAUGGAGUAUGAUACAUGCUCUCAUAAUCUUCCCAAUUUUGACUUUAUCUUGUUUGGGCAGGUUUUCUUUUUCUUCUUAAAUUCAUCUUCUUGUUUAAUGUUCGUCUGUUUUGGCUUAUUAAAUUUUUGGUUUUAGGCAAAAGGAAGAACCGAAAACGCGAGGUGAAAACUGAUGAACUAGUCCACACUCUGAAGAAACUGUCCCAAACAAAACGACCAGGGAAUAGAAGUGGAGAUAAGGAGGCUAGAAGGGAAAGACAAAAAGAGAAAGGAGCAAAGAUCGUUGAAGAAGCAAAGAAACAACUUGAAGAAGCAAAGAAACAACAAGUGACUCUUUUAGUAGUUGGACAAGAGAAGAAACCUCCUGUAUGGAGGCUACUGAAGAGAUGGGCUUGGAAGAGACGCCGUGGACAUGCCGGUGUUCUCAAAUACUGUCUUGAAAACGCUUCUUGCAUGACCAUAGCUGUUAAACUAAAGAAGCGCAAGCAUGGUGGUUACUUAAUCACCACCAAACGCCACAAAAACUUCUGGCUUCUCGCUUAAGAACACCAACCUGCAAGCUUUUCAUCCUUUAUUUUGUAUUUGUAUCAUCAAAAUCUUUGAAAUAAAAUUCUCAUUCUUCAAUGGAUUAUUGAAAUAACAAAUGUAUUUGCACAAGAAUUAUCAACAAUUUUCCC